CUUGUCGUACUUCCUCACCUCCAUGUCAGCAUAAUCAGCAGCAUACAAUUCAUUAUUUACAACUGCCACCAAAGGAGGUGCUUCAGAUGUAGCAGGCAUAUUAUCAUCCCUAGCUUCACCAGCUCGGACGGGAGACAUGCUCGGGAUUUCAGUCCAUUUUCCUGUUUCAAGGUCAUUAUCCCUAGCUUCACCAGCUCGGACAGGAGACAUACUCGGGAUUUCAGUCCAUUUUCCUUUUUCAAGAUCAUACUCCUCUCCACAGGUCAAUAGCUUUGACUCAGUUCCUCCAAUGCCUCCAAUUACAUAAAAUUUUCCGUCCAUGAAUACUGCAGAACACAUCUUACGCGGCUUGUUCAUGCUUGGUAGAGUCUUCCACCUUCCAGUCUCU
rnacentral:lncRNA from 1 species